GGUGUAAAUUUAAAAUAAAAUGGUCCAACCGCGGCCGGAACGACAGACUAAAACGGGAAGAAGAAGAAGCCCUCAAGCGGAUAGAUAGAUACCUUCGGUGUCCUGUCAACAAAAGUAAACAAAAGACGUUGUCAGCCGUCUGAGGGACUACUCGUACGCGUCCCGUACUUCAGGUACUCUCGGAGCGGAACGUACGUACACCGGGAAACCAGCUGCAUUUUUCUCCUUGUACGUGUCCGUCAAUGAUCGAGAGCGAGUGCACCAGAGAAUGGAUGUGGGAGACAUUUUGAAGUGCCACGUGUGUCUCGGUAGCUAUAAUGAUAGUUCCCAUCGCCCUUUACUCUUGCCAGCCUGUGGACAUACAUUCUGUGCUUCUUGCUUAGAAAAUCUGCAAAAACAGUCAAGAGUUAGCUGUCCUGAAUGCAGGAAGCCCAAUGCCAUCCAAGCAGUAUCUUCACUGCCUGUGAAUUAUGUAGUGCUUAACUUAGAGCAGGCAAAACAGGAGAAGCAAAGUAAUCUUCAAGAUAGAGCAGAGGACGUACCUGUACCACAGCAUAGAUCUCAACCUUCGAGUAGGAGAUGCUCCGAUCCACCGCCUGUAGAUGUUAUGAGUGCUAGUCCCUUGCGACACCUGAGAAGGUCAGGUAGUACAAGUGGCCGUACGGAGUAUGUUUUCCAAUCCCCUGAAAGACCAGGAAAUCCACCACAUCACAGGUCUCAAGCAGAGGCCCUUAGAUUGAGUCCCUCUCGUCAGCUAAGAAGAACAGCAAGUGCCAGAAGUGAUCAGUACCCUCAGCAGAUGUUUGGACUAUCUGCAGAGGCUUAUGGCAUGAGCCCACCACGACCACUGAGAAGGUCGGCUAGCAUUCGCAGUGACUGUAGCGAACACACCCAACAUUUGCCAGGAGUGCCUAGGAUGCUUGAUAGAAGGCAUCCAGUUACACAUGCUUUGGCAGGGAGUACAGUGGUAAAUACAAGAGGCUGCCCUCAGGCUUACCGAGGUACAGUGACAGAGGAGAAUGAGAGGUGUGCGAGAGAGCUUCAGGAGGAGCUCGACUUCCAGAUGGCUGUGCAUUUGACAUUUUGUAAGACUGAUCACUUAACAACUUCUUCAGAACGUCAAUCACGGCCACGAUGAUGGUGCCAUAUGUGCCGCUCGCCGAUGGCAGUACCCAGAAGAUGAAGAUUUGAGAACAGCUUUGCUCUUGUCUCGAGUUAAUCUGAAUUAAUUGUACAUACUUUAUAUCAGCCUCAAGCUUCAAAGGACAACCUCAGGGCUGGUAUCUUCAUAUAGUAUUUCACCUUACCCAGAAGUACCAUAUUAUGUCGGUUGCUCUCAAACUUCAGCAGAAGAAGUAGAAUCAUCAGUGUCAGAGUAUUUUGGUCAUGAUAAUACUACAGUUGAUAGAAUUUUCGUUUUCUAGAAUUCCCAGAUAGUAAUCUAACUGGGCCAACUUGGUGAUGGGGACUUAAUUUUGAACUGCUUAAUGUAGCAGAAAGAAGGAUGCCAUCAGAGAAGUGAACAGUGCCUUUUUCAGUUCCUAAACUUUAACUAUAUGCUGUGGUGAUGAAUGGAAGGUCAGUUAUGUUUCUCUCAUGGUUCUCACUUGACAGGGGGAACUGUUUGUUUGUUUGUUUGUUUGUUCGUUUGUAUGGUGUUUUUACAUUGCAAGGGGAACUGUUGCUGCAGUGCUGUGUUGGUGUCAUGUACGUGCACUGACUACAGGCCGUAUUGCUGUGACAUUACUUGUAAAAACUUAUUGUUUCAUGGAUAUUUUAAUAACUCUAUUUUUUCAACUGAGCUGGAAAGAGUCAAAUCUUUGUGCUUGGACAGGAUUAUAAUUAUUUAGGAACAAAGCUUGGCACUGAACUACUAGUAGCUUGUGAUCAAUGUUUUUUAUGGUGAGUAAGCUAAGGUUAACUGGGAACUUUUACCUACUUCCAAACCUCUCAGGCUAGCACUUCGAGUUGUUUUCAGCUCGAUGGACUAGUUAGAUUAGUUUUGUCAAUGUAAUCCUUCAUCUGCAGUCUUUCAGAUAGUUUGGCACAGGCAGAUACUAAUUCAUCAAUUUCCCAAAAUGUUAAGGAAAGAGUUGGUCAACUCUACAAUGGCAGUUGGGCUGGGAUGGAAGUCAAGCGAAACAGAAUUCAAUUAUUGGACAGGAGUCAUAAAUUUGCUUGUAGCUCGAGAUUGACAACCAUACUCCCAUCUUUCUUUUGGGUCAACCACUUUAGUUUUCCAUCUUGAAAAAGGUAAAUUAAAAAUAGAUGUUCACAUCCUCAAGACCCCAGUUCAUCUAGACUCAUUAUUCUCUUUGGUGCUAGGUGUUUGGCUUUAAACUCUUCCUUGUUUUAUUUCCGAGUUGGUUGUAGAAGUUGUUGAUGAUGAAAAGAAAUUUUUCUUUGUUCAAUACUUUUCAUAUUGGUUUGCUUCUUUUCAAAAUACUUUUUUGUAGGAACCACUGACCUGUGCUGUAAAUUUUAGUUUUUCGGCCUUUUCAAAUUGUUUCUAUUGAGAUUGAGAGGGAAGUAUCAGUUUGAUUACCAUGUACUGUAAUGGUAAAUCACCAUGAUACUUUGUCUGUGCAAUUUUUUUAAAAUCCUUGAUGUUUUAGUGGUUUGAUCUGUUAGUGACAUUAGUGUAUGAUAAAUAUCAUCAAACAUUGUAGGUUGUGCUAUUUUGCCCUCAGGUUAAUAUUUGAGAAGUAGAAUGUGAUUUGUUCCCCAUUCAACAGCAUUUAAUAAGCUAGUGCUAUGAAAUAUGGCUAUUGUUAGCUUUCAGUUGGAAGACCAUGGAUUACAUGAUGCCAAAUACUAAGUUUGUUUUAAGGAAUCUGUUCUUUCAGAUAGCAUUUUUAAAUGCUGAUUUUUAAGGUAUACAAGAAAUAGUUAACCCAAAUUUGUUAACGUACUGUUAGUCUAGGUUUUCCAGUUCCUUUGUGUUAGUAAUAUGCUCUUAUGAGCUUUGGUACUAGAAUAAACAAGAUUAAAAUUUCAAUAAAGUGGGUAAGGCAGGUUGAAAAGUAUAGUGCUUAGUUCAUUAAACUUCAUUAACCUGAUUGAAGAAUUUUAUAAGGAAAAAAAUUACAUGGUUGAUGUACUUUGACAUGAAGAAUUAGCUUAAGGUGUGCUCUGCAAAAAAAAAAAUAUAUAUAUAUACAAAUCCCAAAAGUAUUUAUUCUACACAAUACUGCAUUCAUGGGUAUUGUUUGGGUGCUCAUGUCUAGCAGCAACUUUUUACCAAACAACUGCAAGAAAAGUUACUUAAGAGACUUUAAAAUGCUUAAACAUGUCACUAUGAAAAUACAUUAUAGGUUGGACACUUGAGGUGAAUUCUUUAAAAUAUAUUAUCUAUAAUUGUUUUUUGUUGCCUUGCUUUCUGACUUCUCCUCCACUCCCUUUAUUCUUUUUAUUUUAGGUCUUUCUAGCCUGAUUGUUAUCCAUUUCCAUUGGUCUGUUCCCAGCUGUGUCCAACUUUGUUAGCUUUACAUUGCUGCUAUAAUGUUCAUCUCCUCUUCAAGAAAAAUUCCCUUGUGGGUUUUGCUUAACAACAGUGCCAUAUCUUGGAGUGAAAGCAAACUAAAUUAUAGAAUUCUUUUGGCUAGCUCCCCCCACCCAAAAUAGUAAAGAUAUUAACCUUGGUAUGGUGAAAACACUGGUCCGAGCACCUUGUCAAAAUUUAUCUAAUUACUGGUGAGUGUAGGUUUAGUCAUACUGUUUUAUUUAUAAGUUUUGUUGUUCCUUCAUAGCACACCUCCCAUUGGUUGCUUGUUGGUCACACCAACCAAAUCACCAAUACAACAGCACAUAGACUAGUGUAAAAUGCAACUAACGGGGUCACGAGUUAAAGAGGGGUAUGUAGGUGGCUCCACAUGUCUCAUGACCAAGGACAGAUGCCAAUAGUCCCUUGCGUACACAAUUAUUUUAAACUUUACCAGUUUCCAGCUGACGCUGAGUAUUUAUCCUAAUGUUAAGACCUCAGGUUUGUAAGUUAUGAAAAAUACAAAUUGGUAAAAAAUUUUUUUUUUUUUUUUUUUUUUUUUUUUUUUUUUUUUUUUAUUGUUACCUACAAUGAAGAAUGCUAAUUAAGAAUUUUGGAGCUGAAAUAUUUAUUAAAGACUUAACAUAGACAAUUCAUUUUAGUUCCUGUUCUUACUUUCAAGUUUUCAGUAUUUUUCUCUGCUUUCUUUUACCUAAUCACUACUUUGAUACUACUUAUUUUGUACUCUUUUUGCCAACAAUUUUUUUUUUUUAAGUGAAAACUGUAUGUCUUGUUUUAAGCUUGAAGGAAUAAUGAAAUGUUUAAAUAACCUACAUUCUCCUUUUCUGAUACUGUAAAAGAAUUGCAUUUAAGAAAACUAACUUACUGUAAUAGAUGCUACUCUUAUUUACAGUACUAAUCAAAAGUUAAACCAUUUGAACCAGCUGUUAAAAAGUUUACAUUUUAGCUAGGUGAUCUGGUUAAACAUUUAGUUUUAAAAGAUAAUUGAAGAUAGCACCACUUUCUCAGCAGAGUGAGCCUACGUAUAUGUAUGACAUGAUUUGUUAAUUAAAUUUACAAUAUAGUUUUCUAAAAUUAUAUAUAUGAGGUCUAGGAAAACAAGGUGUACAUGUGUGCGAGUGAUGCAGUGCUUAGCUCAUUUGAGCUAGUCUGUGAAUCACUCUUGGGCUACCACCUAUCAAUCUAGCCAAAUGGUUAAUUGAUAGCAGCUCUUUGUAAGGUAAAGAAAAGGAUAUGGGGCUAGCCACUUCAUCCCUGAAGACUUGCUGAUAAUCCAGAAAGCAUACCACGAUUUAAAUUACAAAUACAACUCUCUUCAGAUUAUCAAAUAAUCUUAGUAUUACUUGAUUUCCUAAAGAUUUCUAUUUACUAUAAGUAUAUUGUAUUUGAAAUUUCUGUGAAAAAAUACCAGUAAUUGUUUUUGUUUGCUGGUGUUGAUGGUAUGCCAUGAGCUUCUUGUACGCUAAAUAUUCUAUACAGCAUAAGGUGUGAUCAGAAAGUUAUGAGACUAUUUCAACCUAUAAUGAUUAAAAGAUGUGCUUGAUUCAGACUUUGCUGCCAUCCUUCAAAGCAGUCAAUUGUGCAGCAACAGCGCUUCUACCUCACUUGGAAUGCUCCUAGGAAGCCUCUAUAACUGUCAAGCACCAUCUUUGAUUUCUCCUGUAUCUCCUAUAUGGUGUCAAAGUUGGAGCUGGGAAACGACAUUGCCAAAUUUGGCUCACUGCCACUUCUCCUUCUUCCGUAAGAUGGAGAUCGGACCGAAAGGUUACUGUUUUGACACCGUGGAAAUCAUCACAAAUUGCAGAUAGUGUUUGACUCAGAUAUUGCAACUUGCUGAGAACUUUCCAACCAUUGCAGAAAUACUGGGUGUAGUAUAUCACUGCCUAUAGUUUUUUGCUCUUUAUAGCCAUAGUCUCAUAAGUUUUUGAACACACUUCACAGCAUGCCAAAUUUAAUUUGUAUCACAGCAUAUUUGGUUCGAUUGAUUAACACUUUUUUUCAGCUUUGUAGUUUUAAUGUACUAGAUGUCUUUAAUUUUUAUUUUUCAAACAAAAAUAGUAUCCGGUUUUAUAAUGUUUCACGUUUCAAUAAUAUUCAUGGAGAGCUUCUAGAAGUGAAUGCAUAUUACUUUACUUGAUAGUCGAGAAGUAACCUCACUGUGUAAGUUUUUAACAUUUGUAGCAGCACAAAGCCUCGAUAUAUUGUUGCAUAAUGUUUUUCUUUACUCAGAACCUUUCAUUAAUAAGUAAGGAAUCUAAGAUUAGAAGUAUUCUGUGAUGCAAAUUUUGCUUCUAUUAUUUGUAGGGACAUUUCCUGUACAUAUACAAAGGACAGGAACAUCUCAUUGUAUUGUAUGACUUGAUAUCUAUGAGGAUUUUCUUGAGCAGAGAACUUUAGCACAUAUAAUGCAUCAUAUGUAAAUUAUGAUAAUUUCAGAAUUAAGGUGUCAUUUAAAUCAUUUAUGGAUUAUUUUUGUGAGAAAAAACUUAUUGAAGUGAUUCUUGUAAUAGCAACAUUGAAGGCAUUGUGAUUGGUAUAUAGGGAAUUGUUGAUGCACUUCUGUACAUUUUGAUUACAGGGUAGUAGAGUUUCUAUAUACUAGCCAUGGUAUUCUGUUGUAAAACUGUAUAUUACAAGCCACUAACCAUAAGAUGCCUUAUUCUUUGUGGAAGUAAUCUCAGUUGCACUAUUGUCUUGAAAAGCACAUUGCAUCCAGAUGGCCUCAUAUCACACCUCACAUCCAUACUUGUCAAGAUUGUGGAUUGGGACAUAGACCAAUGGUUCAAAUUUGUACUGAGAGUGAGCACAUUAGCACCAAGGCCCUAAAACUACUGGAGUGUCUUCAGACUUCAGCUGGCAACAGGUCACUGCUGUCCUAAUGCCUCUCCCAUUAUGGAAGAGCUAUUCUGCCACUGCUGAAGAAGGCACAAGGCACAUAACAUAAGCCAGUGACUUGUUUGUUAGCUGCCUUGGUAACGGGAUGAUUAUUUUUAAUUCUGAAUGCUGAAAAGUUUAGUGCAGCAAUAGUAUACUAUGUUUUGUCAACUGAAACUCUACCUGUGUUGGUGGUAUAGGUACAAAUAAAUAGUGAAAUGGAAAAUAUUAUGUCUGCUUAUAAACGGACCAAUGGUAUAGAAUGUAACUGUGAAUGCUUAGUAAAGUUUAGUGACAGUUUAUCUGUGCUUUUGUAUUUAAAGUUAUCAUGCCUCUUAACAUACAUAUUUCAUUUUCUUUUUUGUAGAUUUGUGAACUGUUUGUGAUAUUGUAUAUUUUCAGAAGUUACUUGUUAAAGCAAAUUAUAGAUAAUGCAUAUUUA